rnacentral:rRNA from 1 species
GGAUAACCUGCCCUAAGGAAGGGGAUAACCUCGGGAAACUGAGGAUAAUACCCUAUAGGAUACCGAUGCUGGAAUGCCCGGUACCCCAAAGCUCCGGCGCCUUAGGAUGGAUCUGCGGCCGAUUAGGUCGUUGUUGGGGUAACGGCCCAACAAGCCGAUAAUCGGUACGGGUUGUGGGAGCAAGAGCCCGGAGUUGGAUUCUGAGACACGAAUCCAGGCCCUACGGGGCGCAGCAGGCGCGAAAACUUUACAAUGCGGGCAACCGUGAUAAGGGAACCUCGAGUGCCUGCACAUGCAGGCUGUCUGGGUGUCUAAAACACACCCAAAGAAAGGGCCGGGCAAGACCGGUGCCAGCCGCCGCGGUAAUACCGGCGGCUCGAGUGGUGGCCACUUUUAUUGGGCUUAAAGCGUUCGUAGCUGGGUUGUUAAGUCUCUUGGGAAAUCCGGCGGCUUAACCGUCGGGCGUCUAAGAGAUACUGGCAAUCUUGGAACCGGGAGAGGUGAGGGGUACCUCGGGGGUAGGAGUGAAAUCCUGUAAUCCUCGAGGGACCACCUGUGGCGAAGGCGCCUCACCAGAACGGCUUCGACAGUGAGGGACGAAAGCUGGGGGAGCAAACCGGAUUAGAUACCCGGGUAGUCCCAGCCGUAAACGAUGCGCGUUAGGUGUGUCGAUGACCACGAGUCAUCGAGGUGCCGAAGGGAAACCGUGAAACGCGCCGCCUGGGAAGUACGGUCGCAAGGCUGAAACU